CUUUCCCUUAGCACAGUGAUGCUGCCCUCCUCCACGACGGAGCCAAUUGCUCCACACUGGAGGUCGUCUGUGGAUAGAAGACAACCACAGGUGGCAGAGCCACCAGAGCCGGAAGGAGCCACCGUGACGACAUCAGCCACGUGCUUGCUUUGUGUCUGUCCCCAGGACUCCUCAUUGCUGGGCCUGUGCUGCCCUGAGGACAGAGAGUCUCUGUCACCAUGAUGCUCACGCCCUGGCUGGGAAAUGACAACAAACUCUGAACAGCCAGGGGUCUCGUGGUCUGGUACUUUGAGCAGGCCUUGAUGAAGUGGUGUCUCCAAGGUGUGGGCCGGGUUUAAAGGAAGCCAGGAGGACCGAGCGUUCCCCAGGAGGCGUGGAGCUGGAGCAUCUGGCCUGAAGCAGCACAGAGAGCGCAGAGCCACAGGGACCCCACGGGGAGCUCUUUGCAGGGACCCCUGCAGUGCUGCGCCCCGGGUGGGAGACUCAGCUGGCCCAGAGCUGCCUGGCAGGAGCCUCGGGAAGCAAUUCCCCACCUCCUGCCCUCCAUUCUCCCACCUCCGGCCAGCUCCGCCCUUUGCAAACCUAAUCUGAAGGGGAGAGUGAUGCUGCUGUGGAGGCUGGACCCCAGGACUUUACCCAGCAUGCGGUAGCAUGACGUCAACUCUCUACGAGGAACAAUUAAAACUAGAAGACCGUGGAACAACAUCUUCAAAAAUCGGAGCUAGAAUUCUUUACCCAGCCAAACGCUCAGUGAGCAGGAAGGUGGUGUAGACACGUACAUCUUUCCUCCAGAAGCCAGUAAGGAGAGGAGGCUGUGUCCCGGGUCGGGGUCAAUAAACAUGCUGUUGGGGAUUCAGAGCACGGAUUGGUGACAGGACCCAGAAAACCCAGCAAAUGGAAAUUCUGCUUCCAAGUAGGAUGCAGUGGUUCACAGCAGGCCAACACUUCUGCAACCACAACUGGAGACAGCCAGAGAAAGCGCAAAACUCACGUCUUCAAAGGCAGCAGAGAGCUGUGAGGCAAUGAAGACGAG
rnacentral:lncRNA from 1 species